rnacentral:pre_miRNA from 1 species
GGGGAGUUUGCGCGACAGUGUGUACAAGAUUUAAUCGUACUGGCCUGCAAAAUCCCAAA